GUCAAACAAAAAAUAAUUGCUCAUAUUCACAGUCACAUUUGUGUGUAUUUUUAGCCAUGGAGCAGGUGUAGCCAUCAACUAUUAAACAGCCAAAUGCAACCGACACUUUGGACAGAGUUUUCAUCGUGUAAAUAUUAAUAACAACUUUUCACUUUUCGCACAGCGGAAAGUGUCACUCAAAGUCAAGAGAGGAACGAUUUUCCGUACACUUCUCGUAUCGACCAAACAAUUUUGACGUCAAUGGCAUAAGGUGAGCCUCAAGGAUAGUUUUAUUUGCAACGCCAAAGCGAAAAACAAAAAAAAACAGAAAACAGCAAACAAAUUGAGCAGUUAAAAGCCAAAUUAAUGGCCACGAUUAAAGCCGGCUGUAGGUUUAGUAUCAAUUCGGGUUUUAAAUUCGAUUCAAGCUUUCAUUCAUCAAAUUUGACAGGCGCGAAAGUGGAAUUCUUUUUGGCAGGCACAUUAAUACGUAGUCAAAUACCACAGAUUGGAUAGCGAAAGAGAUUUAAAUGGAUUAUUUAAUUAAAAAUACGAGUGUCGAUACUUUAAGCUACCAUUUAACCUGUAUUACACAUAAGUUGAUCACUGGGAAUACUUUUGAUAAUAGAAAACUAAACAGCAAUGUUAUUGGGCUAUUUCCUGCAAUACUAAAAGAUCGAAGACAUCAAUGCGGCUGACAUCUGUGAAAGUGAAAUUCCGAUGUGCUAAUGAAGCUCACAGCAAAGAGAAAAUGGCAUUACACAAAUAGAAAAGGAGAGAGAAAGAUAAGACCGAGAGGGCGGCACUCUGAUAAAACCAACGUGCCUCGAAUCAACACAACUUGGCUCAAAGCAGACAACUGCUGUUGUAAACCGCUUUCAGGAAUUUACCGGCAGCGCCUCGGUUUUGGUUUUUUUUCUUCUGCUUUUUUUUUUCCUCUUCCAGUCGGAUCUCUUUUAAUGCGCCAUUGUUUGGGAGGAGAUUUCCCAAGGCCUUGCAACGACUAAAACCGCGAAUGAGACAUAAAUCUGGCAUCGCCUUGGCUGCCUCAGCCGCUGACUAAACUGUGACUAAAUGCAGUUAAAGCUGGGACCCAUCGGCCAACCGGGCAACAAACAGCUGUACUUUUCAUAAUUACCAGCUAUUAAAAUCUUGCCAGCAUCUAAAGCGAAUUAAAAGAGUGAAGGCUGUCCGUGAGCCAGCUGCUUUUCGGGGAAGUCCGUAGUCCGCAAGAACCGAAGAACCGAAGAACCUUUCCCAAAACUAAGAAUUGGACAAGACAAAAGCAAAAGCUAAAAGAUUAAUUAUAAAUGGUAUUCAUGGUAUUAAGAGGCACAAAAAACCGCCCAGCUGUUUGACGACCAGCUCUCUGUCUUUUUCAUUAUUAUUUUUUUAUUUUUCACUGCUCGGUUUCGAUUGUGUUUAAUAAUCAGAUAUUGGGCUCGACUUCUGCGGUUACUGGCUGCUGUGCGAUUGGCAGACAAUGACCUUUCAACAUGCCGCUUCAGUGCUCACUCAACUGAAGUCUGUAGCACAGAUACAAUUAAACAUUUUCAUAUUUUUUUCUUAUUUGUAUGUUGUAUGGAUAGUGGUGACUGACUUGAAGUACGUAUAAAUCUCGAGUGUAUAUUCAAUUUAAAAUGCAUUUUUCGCAAUUUGUUUUAGCUGUUCGUUUGCAUGAUCUAGCCGCGGAGUCGUGAUUUGCAGUGGCAAAUAUUUGUCUGUCUAAUUUCAACAUUAAUUUCUGCCAUGCAAAACAGAAAAACACAAAACUCAACUGCUGGCGAGCGAAUUAAUUGAGCUGGCGACUUUGGAGCUGCCGCAUUUAUUUAUUACAGUAGUCGCAUAUUUUAUUUUAUAAGCUUUUGUAUUCGCUGUGUUGUUCAGCUCCUUUUUUUUUUUUGCAUUUUAGCUUGUUUGACUAGCCAGCCAUGCAAUCUUGAUUGUACACAGAAACUAAUUUUAAUGCCUUUGAAACGAGAUUGUUUUGGAAUCUUUGAUUAGCAAUUUUUCUGAAUACACACCCUGUCAUUGUUUUUCCUAUAAAUAACUAUAUUUAUUCAUAUGAAUUUAUAUUAUAUGGCAUUUUUUGCAGUGCACAGGUUCCCAUUGUUGCGAAUUACCUGCUCUCUGCAGCUUUAUCGAUAGUAGCCUUGGGAACAUCUAUUUACCUACCGGGUGUUGUAAUUGCCCGUCUAUUAAUAAUGAUUACCAGCAAAUGUGAGUGCGAAUGCGAUGUCUGGCCGUUGAUUAGCUGGGGUUCUGACAUUUUCUAGCAUCGAGUCAAUGCUAUUUAUGUAUGUUGCCUGGCUCCCUGCUUAUUUAUAGACCUGAUUCUAAACACGUCUCUUAAUGUUGCCACUCUUUGUUGCUUCUACUUCUAGCUCUGCUUGUGCUUCAGUUGCUGCUGCAGAUGCAGAUGCAGUUGCAGUUGCAGAGGCAGAGGCAGAGGCAGAGGCAGUUGCGUUUCGCCUUCAUGGGAAGUGCAUUGAAACGAAAUGAGUGCAAAUCAGCAAUGGCAACGGGGCGUAUGAGCAACAAUGCACAGAAGCAGUGGCGGCGAGCAAAACAAAGGCCUGCCUGGCAUAAUAAACAGCUGCAAAGUAGCACGAAACGGCAACGGCAGCUGGCAAAGGAAAAUGGCAGAAACAAAAAUGAAAGCCAUCUUCAGCAUAAAAUCGAAGUUGUAUCACUCUUUCUAGACUGAGCCAUAAAACCGAAUUUAUUAACGCUGUAUGCCACUUAAGGAGCGUACAGAAGAACAGAUAACUAAGUAAUGUAUAUUCAUUUUAUAAUUUAUGGACAUAUAACAUGAUUAUUCUUUUUAUAAACAAAUUUGGGUCAGUAUAACCAACUAUUUAAAAUCAUUCUGAUAAUAUCGCACUCAUAGUUGACUAGUUCACACCUCGAUACUUUUGCUUGUUUUUUGUUUCAAUAACAAUCAAUUUGCCUAACGAGGCACAUGUUCAAUACGCACAUUGUGCACGCUUUGCAGAUUUGGCACCAACUUUUACUGAUAAAUCUCCCACUAAAUACAACAAAUGUAAUAGCACCCGCAAACUUGGCAAGGGCAUGAGAAAUAAAGUUAUUAUUUCGAAUGAGCGCUGUGCGCUGGAAAAAUAAAAAAACAGAAGCGAGUGAAAAUAUUUCAACAAUUUUGCGGUGCAGUUGCAACUUGGUUAUUGUGUAGACUUCGUAAUUUGCAUGCCAAACGCAGCAGAAACAAGACAACAAGACAAGAAGAAAGCCAAAACAAUAAACUACAAAUUAUAAAAAAUGGCAAAGAAAUGCGAGUGGCUAAUAAGCAACAUGAAAGAGCAGUGAACUUUUGCCCGAGGAAAGUGAAAACUCUGGUGAUGUAAAUGAAAAGCACGUUGGCGAUAUUCGCUAGUACUAGUAUUAAAAAAAGAAAUAUUUAUACUACCUGGGUUCUUUAAUCACAUUUACGAUUUGUCAACGAGAAAGUGCCCGCAAGCGAUGCUUUUAUUCUCCUCUUUUAUUAAUAUAUUUUUUGAUUGCGUUUUUUGUGGCCCGAAGCUGGCACGUUUUCCAUCAUUAAAAAUUAUGAUUGUGUCGUUAAUGCAAUGCUAAUGAGAUGCCAUUACGGUUAUGGCCCACACAUUGCCAAAAAGUGAAGAUUUCUCUUGGGCCAUUGUGUGACUACGUCAACUAUGGUGUACUAUGGUACUAUGGUAUUCUCGGUCUGUGGGUAUAGCCCAGUUAUUAGCCAUGCAACAGCGUUGAUAAUUAACACCUUUCGGCGCACACACACACAUAUAAUAUAGCCACUUAAUUAAUUGCACGGCCGACGUGCAAGUGACAACCACGUAUCUUAGCCAGUUUAAACGAAGGCGGAAGUGCGCGGCGCUUAGUCAGCAGCCAAGAUGGCUGCGUUGACGCAUGCAAAUGAUCCCACGAAAGACACAGACAGUGCCACAGGAGGACAGCGAAUUAAUAAAUAAAUGUUACUUACUAUUACUUAAACUAGGCCAUAGUAGGUUAAUAUAGAAAUGGCAUUAAAAUGCCAGAAUUGAAAGAUAUCUCCUUACUAAUUAAGUUAGCAAUCCGACAUCCUAAUUUCAUAAGAUUUACUUCCAUGAGCAACUGAAUUUUCGGAUAAGUAGUUUAAAUUGAUGUAAUCCUCCAACCAACUCCCACUAUUAUUUUGACCGCAUCUGUUUGAGCAGCCCGUAACUAACACUCCAAGGUAUUUAAUUUAUUUACGAACCCUGCAGUGCCCGCUGAUUGAGGUUCAACAAACUUGGUGUUGCAGGUUGCAGGUUGCAUGGCCAAGUGGACAAACGGUGGCCAGUGGUUGGUGGCUAGUGGCAAGUAGCUGCUUGCUGGUGGCCAGUGGGCAAUGGGCAAUGGCAAAUGGGAAAAGUGGCAAGUGGCAAGUGGCAAGUGGCAAGUGGAUGGCCAGGCCAGGCUAACCAGCUAACCAGCCAAGCGGCCAGCCCAAGCACUUUGCUUAUUAAAGUACAACAGCCGUCGUACAUCAGGCGAAAUUUAUUAUGAUGAUGUUGUGUGCAUAAGGCCAGGUAAGAAAAACAAUAAUAAUAAUAACAACACCAACAGCAACACCAACAGGUAACAAUGAGGGAAAUUUAUUAUCGCUACGGCAUCGAAUGCUUUUGCCAUUGGCUUUGGUUUUGGAUUUGCUUAGCCACCACAGUCGAAGUUGCACAUUCAACGGAAGGGCCGCCAAUUGCACUCCGCACAAAAGACAAUGCAUUGAAAGUGUAAUUCUCCGCAGUUUUUUGUAUUUCCUACCAACUUUUCCACCCAAAGGGCCAGCUCUGCGUUGGUGUUUGCCUUUAACCACAAGACUUUCCUUUGGAAUGGGCAACGUGUCGCAUAACCGGCAGAGAAACGGGAAGAGCCCGAGGGCUUCGGAUGGCAGGAGAGAUGGAAGUGGGACUCCUGACCACAACAAAGCUGUCCAGCGGCCACGGGAGAUAGUCGGCAGGAAUGGCCGAGGGCGAUUGUGGUCAAGACACCUGGAACUUUUACAAGUAUCCGCCGUAAGAUGGUUGAAUUUGAAACUGCCAUAAAAUGCAUAGUUAUUUGCCUUUUUCAUAAUUGAAAAAUAUUUAUGAAGUGAAAAUUGCCAUUUAUAAGUAAACAUAACAUUUUACGUUUCCUAUCUUUUACUAUUGCUAUAUGGGUUUACGUCAAUUUUAUGUUGUUUUAACAGCCCGUGUUCAAUAAAAAUUCAAACCCAUUCGAAAACCUCUGACAUUUCUAUCUGAAUAAACACAAUUUGAUUUAAAUAACCCCCCCAAGGUUUCCGCUUACAAACACAUUACACCCACUUUUAUGGUUUUUGCCUAUCAAAUGUAUCCCAAAUCUUAUUUAGAUGAAGUGAUGUAUGAUAAUCACGGACACAACGCCUUUUUAACCAUACCAUAUCAAAGGUAAUACUAUACUAUGCCAACAAGCAAAGCUGCAAAAAAAAAAAAUAUUAAAUUAUACGGCUGAAGGGGAAAAAUUGAGUUGCUGUUACAUUAUAAACGGGCGAAUGAGCAACAACCGCCGCCAACUGCUCCCAACCAAAGAGAGCAGUCAGUUGGCCGGGUUCCAACCUCCAGCGAAGGGCGCCAGUUCAAAAUUUUGCACAGCCCGAGGCUUUUUUGUGGCCUCAUACAAGACACCUUUGCAUAUCGUACACAGCAAAUACUUUCAUUGUUUUCAAGUAAACUUAAAUUGUAACAUCUCCCAUCGCCUUAUGUAUUUUUAGUAGUAGUUCUUCAAAGAUCAAACUGGCUGACCAAAGCAUCGUGAAUUAAGUUCAUAAUAACAAUAAAUCUUUUAUAUUAUUUUAUUUGUGCAGUAGCAUGAUUACAAGAGUUUGUGGAAGCAAAAGAAGCUGAAAGUGCAGCCUGCACCGUCGUUAAGAGCACUCUUUAUAUGCACAUAAUGACUUUUGAUUGCCAUUUGCUUAUUUGGAGCAUUAUUUAAGUUUCAUUAACAAAUACUAAAUUGCUUUCGAAAGUACAACGCCGAGUGAGCAAACGAAUGACUGUCUGAGUGAGUGAGUGAGUCAGUUAGUGAGUUAGUGAGUGAGUGAAUGAAUAUGAGCUCGCUAUUCGCAGACAGUUGCGACAACGUUUGAUUGACGCCGUGGCCAGUUGGCCAGCCAGUCAGUCCGAGGAGUUGGCCAAAUGCGUUGGGUAGAAAUUAACAGGCAAACACUUUCGCUGGCAUUUCUUUUGGCCCGGCAUUUCUAUAGAGAUUUCACGUGCCAAGCAAAAGCCAAAGCCAAAGCCAAAGCCUCCGUUAAAAGGCAGAAAUAUUCAUUUCAUUAAAUUUAAUAUUUUCAUUAGCAGACUUUCAGAUUGCCAGACGGAUCUGCGAAUCUGCGGCUCUGCCAACGGAGAUAAGCCAAUCCAAAAAGGGGUAAGCCGCCACAAUGCUGACAUUAUUGUGACGGCCGGACGGGAAUUUAUGUUUUAAUUACCAACCUCCUUUUUAUCUCUUUGUGAGUGAAUGAAAGUGCGGACUGCUCUCCGACAGCCGCGAAAGGAAAGGAUAAUGGGAUAAUGUCCGUCCGUCCGUCCACUUUCCCAGUUGUCUGCGCCAAAUUUCAGUUAAAUAUAAUGCUCGACAUACAGCUGCAUUUUUAUAUUAUACGCUAUUAACAGAUUUGCACUUGCAUGUGUAUUUUGCUUUCAACUGGAGUACUUCCGCUUGAAUAGGUAUAUUUAAGAGGGUUGCAAAACGUUAACAACCCUAAUAAAAGCAAUUUGAAUGCUGCAAUUUAUUUUUAAAUCACAAUUACACACAUCUAAGGUAUUAGUUUGAAAUUCAUCAUUGGAUUCUCGAACCCUCAGAUCAAAAAAACCCUCGAAAUAUGGGGCGUUCACCUUGCCUCUGUGUUUCGAUUGAAUACUGAAGAUUGAAGAUAACCGAAAGCCGCCGAAAAAAAAUCCCAGUUGAACAAACAAAGAGCAAACAAGUUCGUAUUAACUUUGAUCUUUGUUACACAAUCGAGUCCGCUGACGCAAGUAUCGAAAAUCAAGAGCCGAAAAUCGAAGAGGUAAAAGCCCGCUCGCAUGACCAAGGAAAUCGAUGUUCGAUUCGAGGCGACUUUGGCUAUGGCUAUGGCUUAUAUGGCUUGGCUUAGUUCCGGCAUAAUUUAGCACCAAUUUCUAUUUGCUUUUCACUUGGCUAAUGGGAUGGCGUUUAUGCGCCAAUAUAGCUGGCACCAAGCAAAACAAUUGCCCUGCCAAGAGCAGACCGGGCCAGACAAGAAAAAGGUCAUGGUAAAAUUGGUAAAAUUGAAACUGAAAUUGCACAGCACUUAGAGCGCGAAAGUCGGCAUUGUUGCCGACGCUCUACUCGUAAGUAGUAUCUAUCUAUUCAGAUACAAUCGCAAGGGGGACCAGCGCAUUUGAACUUAAAUUGCAUUGCCAUGGCAAUUUUACAAAUGGCGCAGCAGCAGCAAAACGAGAAGUCUAUUUUUUCCAGCGCCUCCCCAAAAGUUAUAAUUGUUCCAAGAAGAGGGGGGGAUUUCCCUCUGAAGGACGCCAGCUCAGCGGAAAACUUUUCCAUUUUUUUUGGGGCCCAACCUUAAGCAAUUUGAGGCGCGUGCGCUUUUUGUCCGCCCUCAAUGCUCAUUUCCAGCUUUUCUAAUUGGCUUGACAUGCCCCCAUGGGCUUUUGUCUGCACUAACUGCACUUCGAUGUUUGCUUUUCGGCCAGAGACGAAAAUACUCGUAUUUGCAUUUGCCUGCAUUCACAUCCAAGCUGCCGAUGACUUACGGCCCCACAUAUCGUUCGAUAUCGUCCAAAACCCACACAAAAAAAAAGGCUGGCCAACAGCCAACUAGAUUUGUGCCGGUUCAAUGUCUGUGUCCAUUUUCAUUGGCAAAUAUUUCACCAGACUGUCAACAGGCGGCGUCAUAGGAAACCCAAAGUACAAUUUUCACCCGAGCCAUAGAGGUGCCGAGUUGCUUCUUAUAUUCAUAGAAAGUGGGAAGUUAUUAAAGAAAUAAUACAAAUAUUACAUUCUAAGUAUCUUUAUAUCUAUUAAUCACAAAUGUUUCUAUUAAUUGCGCACUUUUUCAUCACUCAAGCUUUCAAUAAACACACAAGUGCUUUGCUUAGAUUUGCUGAUAUCUAUCGAUUGAUAACAAAUAUAGUAAUCUGCCAUAGCACUUGUAAUUCACUUCGUAUAUAUAGACCGCUUAUCUAUCGACUUUAAAAUAUAUUUUUAGUUCCCUGAUAGCCGCAAAGAAACUUAGCUACUAGCAAUCCGAAGUGCCAUUACUAUUUUUGGCUCUGUCUGGCUCAAUCAAUACGACUUACCGGCUGAGCCGUGUAACCAAACUCCAGAGCCAAGUAGACGAAGCCAAUUGUCCUCGAAACACAAAGAGUGAGAGAAACUGCGACACUUUUGGCACUCAUAUAAAAAUAUUUAAACUUGACACUCUUUUGGCCAUUGUCUAUCCGUCUGGCGUUGCCCCCGCAAAACGCAAAAGUCAGUUGACAGUUGGCAGUUGUUUUUUGAUACUGGCUGGGGGCUGGGUAAAUUUGCUUUCGGAGCAGACCCGAAACUAAUUAUAACAGCGACUAUAUGACAAACAACCAAACUAUGUUUAUGUUUUUCGCUUUUCUAUGUACUUGGCGGGCUGCUCAAGGUUCAUGGCUUUAUUAAAUUGCUUUGGCUAAAUAGAGGGUUCAUUAAGUUGUUGGAGCUCCCACAGCGACCCUUUUUGGCAUUGAAAGCAUAGCCAAUUCGUAAAUGGGGGGAAACUCAUUUCCAGUUUCUGCUGCUUUUUCCAUUGAUCGAUUCCGCCUAUUGUUUUUUUUAUUUUGGCACGGAAAUGAAGCCAAUUUAAGAGCAACACCACCAAAAGCCAUACGAUUGAAAAUCUUCUUCGGCUUUAUUUUGGUUUGGUUUUAUUUCAUUUUACCAAAAACUGGUUGCGCUGCGUUUUAAGUAUUUUUCGUAGAAGCAUUUCUGAGUUGUCUUUGGUUUUAUGGCUAAGUCAUAAGCCAAGAUCGCUGAGGGCAAUUAUUCUAGCUGCUAAUUUGAAAAGUGUACGAGCAUCUAGCAGCUAGCAGCUAAGCAUAUAAGCAUCUAAGCAGCCAUGGCACCCAUAAAUCACACUCCGUUUAGCCGGGCCAAGAAUAACUGGCCAAGAAUUUGCGUUUAGAAAGUCAUGGCUAAGAUUUUGAGCAGGAAGCCAAGUCGCGUUCACUAAUUAAAGAGACGGCACAUUGUUACUCAAUAAGCAGUAAAUUCGAGGAACUUAAGUAACCGUUUAGUGGCAGUAGCAAUAUUCAACCAAUUUUUGAAAGUACCAAUGGCAGUAAACAGAAACUAAGGAAUUGUAGUGCAAGAUAUUCGUAAAAGUAAUGCGAAUUUCACAUUUGCGAAUUUCAACUUAAAGCUUUACUAAAAGAAAGACUUAUUUAAAUACUUAAAAGAGCAUCUUUCAGUUUUUGUUUGCUGAUAAUGUUACUAACAUUAACUUCUAACAUUAUUACUUUACAAACCACCUAAUUAACUAUUUUCCCAUCUAAAAUAUUUCAAAAUAUAUAUUUCUUCAACGGUUGUGCCACUGUGCUUUUAAUAGUUCCUAGGCGGCGCCAACAAAUUGGUUUUUUAUUUUGUUUACUGGCCUCCGGGCGAAUAGCUACCAGAGUCAGAGAGUGAGCAUAAUUAGGAGCCUGGCCACUUGGCCAUUUGGCUAUUUGGCCACUUCGUCUGCGAUCUCCGCGUGAACUGAGCAGUUGAGGAGUUGAGGAGUUGAGGAGCUGAGGAGGACCAAAAGCCGUAGAGUAAAGAUGCCUUUCAGGUGCACUCGAGGAACGCACUUGCCGCAUGAAUUGCACUUAUUCGGGGCAUUCGAGAGGCGAGUUAACCGGCGGAUUGUGUUCAUAAGCACUCGGCUAAUGAGGCAGAAACAGCGCUGGUAUUCCCAGCAUUUCCAUUAGCUUUAUGUAACACAAGCACAUUCAGCGUUUACCUUCAUUGAAUGUAAUGUAAUGAAAUGGCUGGAGAACGUCAGCCAACAACCUUGCUGGUUUUCAGUUUAAGCUGAUGAUGAUGAUGGUGAUGAUGAUACCGACCAAACCCAAAUCCAAAUCCAAGUAAACCCAAGCCUAUUAGAGAGGCGCUGUGGCAUUUGCAUGGCCGUGGCCAGCUGAAUGCGACUAUAAUCGCCGCAAUUGAACAGCGAGCGGCGGCUUUCGAGGUUUAGGAACUCAGAUCUGCUGACAGGGGCAAAUAAUUUCGAGGAACACAAGCCAAAAUAAGACUACCAGACUAACCGUGGAGAACAGCGAACACCGGCUUUGGUUUAACAAUUCAAUUAGAUGGGUUCACUCACUUACAGUGUGCAGCUGGCAUCAAAUUGAAAGAGAUACGAGGCAGCUGAUUAGUUAGUUUCCCGGUUAGUUGGCCCAGCCUCGCAGUCAAAAGGGCAAAGAUGUGCAGAUUAUCUUUUUAUUUCUUGACGCAGGGUUAGUUAAUCCAAACAACCAUCAAAACUGACUUAACUUGCAAGCUCAGUUAAGCAACUUUAAGCUUGUAACAAGCAAUUAAAUACUUUAAAGUUAAAUACAGUAAACAGUUUCAGAAAAAACCCCAAAGCUAAUGCUCACCUUUUUAGCAUCGAAUUAUACUUCCAAAUUUAAGCAAAAAAGCAACAGUUUGAAGAUAAAAAAGAACAUCAUAUUCUUGGUCACGACUUUGUUGGCCAACACAAAAGCAUUCGAUGAUGAUCUAUAGAGUUUGGUCACAAUAGGCCAAAAAGCAGCACAACCAAACAACCAGUAGGCAAAAGUGCAUUUUGACAAUUCCCCUCAGUUAAAGACACGGCAAUUUAUUAAUUUUCCAAAUUGAAAUUAACAAGAAACCAACUACAAGCAACUAAUUAGACUAGCGCAUGAUAGCUGGCAGUAACCAGUUUCCUUAACUCAUUGAUAAAAAUAACACAAACAAACUUGGCUUACAAAAACAGUUAACAGAUAGCUCCAAACAUGGCCAUGUGAUGCACUGUCACUGCAAAAGCGCCAUAAAAGACUUGUUUGCAUGCUGGCCAGCCUCUAGACUUCGUUUUUCUACGACUAUUUACCAGCCGGAGCGCAGAAACCUGGCAAAAAUAAUAUGGAAAAAAUUAAGAAAAAGAAAAAACACACACACACUAGCUAUUCGAAAGGCUAUUAGAGACGGAGAGACGGCGGCCGGCGAUUCAGUGGUUAGCUUUAAAUGAGGACGACGACUAAUAUCCAUGCCGAUCGAUAAAUGCGGCCGCCAAUAACUGGAAAUACACAUCAAGUAUACGACGCGCUGACAACGACACAUUUGCGGUUCACUGGGUAUUUGGGGUGUGGAAGUCGAACUUGUUGGCUUGUCCGUUCGUCUGUCCGUCCGUCCGUUAAUAGCUGGGCGCAGUCUCUAGCUGCUCGACAAUGUUUUCGGAUGGGCCAGUUAGGGGUUUGCCGUGCUUGGGUCUGCGGUUAGCCCCCCAGUUUUCCAAGUUUUCCAUUCCCCACUUCCACAUGUCCCCGGGUUUUAGUGAAAAUACUCCUUAGAUGACUCAGACAUGAGUGUGGUAAGUGAGAAGUAUUCAGGAAGGUUUCGAUGCUUUGCAGGAAAUGAGAGGUUUACAAAUUGGGGUUGAUAAGACACAUUCGUUUAAUCCUAUUGUGAAAGAACUAACUGGCGUAAUGUUACCCCAAAUUGACACAUAUACUGGCCGCUCUUGAUCAGAACAUUCGUUUGUAUUAUCUUGAUAAUCUCUCCUCGUAAUUACUGUAUACGCUGCGGGUUCGUUGACCUAUUGAAAAGGCCAUGGCUGUGCAUAAUUCAUAAUUCAUAAUGAAAUUGUAUAGUACGUGGAAGCUUUCUUUGUGGAGGUCAUAAAUUUUCCGCUUUAACUGAGCUCCCAUGCCAAGGGGACACCUUAGGCGGCGCCAUAUGGGCAAAGUCAAGCACCAAAAGCAAAAAACAAUAUAUAAAAAAAAAAAAAAAGUAUACGUACAGAAAAAGCCAAAAUUGAAAUACGAGCGCAAGAAUAUCGAAGUAUCUGAGAAGCGGACAACAAGAAGAUGUUGUGAGUAGAAGCCCAAGUAGUCAGCGAGCACAGACAAGUGACUGCAAAAAACUUGUCAAACUGGUAAAAAUGGCCAAGCCAGAGAGCUACCAAAAAAAAAACCCAAGGCACAUACAAUACGAAACAAAAAAUGUAAAAGAAAACCUUAAAAAUCAACAACAGCAGAGGAUGCUGGCCACUUUUAACGACGAUGACCUUGGCGACGGCAGAAACUCCGCUGCCGCUUGCAACUUGUUGCAAGCUAGCGACAGCUGGCGUUGCAGACACCUGAGACAUAGAGAAUCUGCACCCGCUGCCCCCCGCAGCAUCGCACACAACAGGUACGGCCAAGAGAAUAGUACCAAGAACUUGAUAUGAUAUGCGUGGGAGUUUCCAGCAACUAAUUAAGAUGAUCAAGGAGCGCUCUUUCUACAUUAUUUAAAGAUUUAUAUUUGAGCAAUAUUAUAGUGUCUUAAUAGAACAAUUCUUUUUAUAAUGAUGCUUUGUUAUAGAUCAAUACAAAUAAUAUUAUAUAUUAUUAAUUUAUAUUAUUAUGCGGUAAAGUUGUACUACAAUCCAUACAAUCCAAAUCUCUUUUAUAUAAAUAAGUUCUAAGGCUCUACAAAUUUAUGCUCAGCUGUAUAUCCCCCAUCUUGAAGGAGUUACCUUCUUUUUCUCAUGAAUUUUACGGUAAAUUUAGGUCGUUGCUGCAACAACAGCAGCUGACUUGUUUACAUCGGCUUUUCCCCAAAACGGCGGACUUUGCCAAUAACUUGACUGUCUGACUCGCUGGCUGGCUGGCUAAAUAUAGACAUAGACAAGCGUUUGGCCAUGUUUCUGCUUGGAUUUCCUGGCCAAACACACAUCAGGCUACAUCGCAUCGCCAUCGCCAUCGCCAUUGCCAUCAUAUCAUCAUCCUCAUCCUAGGCAUCCAUCGUGUGCAGUAUUUGAUUUGAUCAAUUUUUGAAAACUACACUUUCAUCCGUUUCCGUUUCGUGGGGAAGUGGCUGGCUUGUGGCCAGCAGGCGGACUUAUUUCUUUGCGGAUUUAUCCUAUUUGGGGCAUGACACAAAUUUGGCAAGCAUCCACGUAAAUGUGGUUUGAGUGAAGCUUGAGUUUAUGUUUGUCUGGCUGGCGCUGCCUUGUUUUCUUGCCAGCAAUUUAACAAUUAAAAACACGCGCUCUUUUCGGCUUCCACCGGAGCGACCGUCAUUAACUCGUUAAUCCACGCGAAAAUAAUUUAUUAUAAUUGCACAUAUACAUUUUUGCUCAUUUUCUGCGAUUCGCAUGAAACAUAAAACGACAGCCAAGCUCCUUGGUCAGGCACCGCUUGGUUGCCCAAUAAAAUGUGUAAGUCUUCUGAAUACCCUGGCCCACAGAAGGGUAUAUAAGAGCAAGGAAUUGCGAUGCACUUUAAAAGAUAUAUAUAUUUUAUAGCUAUUGUUUCCCCUUACAACGCAACUAAAUGCCCGAAAUGAAAUGCUCCUUUUAGUUUGGCGCACGUAGUUUGGAUAACCGCUUUUAUUACUUCUUAUAAACAUCCAAUUUCAGUUUCAUAUUAAAUGUUAAGCAAUCUGCAAAAUGUUGAUCACUUGACUCAAUCGGAGAUCUAUUAAAGCAACGAGAUUCAAAACAAGUCUUGCCGUAAACAAGUUUUGAUUUCUAAUAAAACUCAAAACGAGGUUUCCACCACCUAAUUCAGAUAGGGUAUUUUCAAGUCGACAUGUUCUUUCUUACCAUCAUGACGCAAGGCUAUUUUAUUCUGGCCAGUAUGACACAAGACGGAAAAUCGUUAACUCACGUUGCAUUGUGAACUCACCUGCAAAAAAAAAAUGAAGAGAGAUAUGAUUAGGUUGCUUCAAGAUAAAUAGUUAAAUUCACGAUAAAAUUCUUGCUUGCUAAAAAUUCUUUUAUAAAUAACCUUCUGCAAUCAUAGCUUGAUUAGAAUGAGAACGAUAAAAAUCAUUUUCUUACAAUUAAACUUUAGAAGAAAUGCUUAGUUUUCAGAUUCAAAACUAUUUGGUAUAUUACAUUUUAUUUAAAUCCUAUGGAUAUCAUUUAGUAACCAUAACAAAACUUGACGUUUAAAAAGAGCUCAUGAUCAGCAAUGAAUGCCCGAUACACAUUCAUGACGAAUUGUUUUCCAUAGCCGACAAAUAUCGUAAUAUCUAGACGUUUAUGAUGCCAAAUUGUUUACAACAGUUGGCGGCGUAUACAUCAACAUCAAAUGCUGCGCAAGACAAAGCACAUUUUUGGCAAAAGGCCAAGGGAGAUGUGGUGAAACUUCAGGAGGAGCACUCUCCCAAAGUCCGUGCACAUUUCAAUUUGGCAGCCGGUUUGCAUAUAAGUUAUAACAUAGACGGAUCAUUAGGCAGCUGGCCAGGCAGAGCAGCCGAGCACACACUCUGGAUUUGUUAUAACGCCGCGCUAACCAAGUGUGUGUAUACAAACAAGCAUACGUAUGUAUGUAUGUUUGGCAGGCGGUGUGUGUGUUUGGAGAAAGUCGGAAGCUCAAGGCACAAAACAGCUGAAAAAGCUGAAAAAAAUUGAAGAAGCGGCCAACUGCAGACCCCAUGAUGAUGGAGAUGAUGAUGUUGCUGAAUCCCAAUCUGAAUCUGUUGGCAAACAAAGCGCAAACAGCAGGCAAAGUUAAUCUUGGCCAAUAAGUGGAGCACACACACACAUGUGGCCAUUGGACAUUGGCCAUUGGCCAUUGCAGUUUUUUGCAUAACCAAAGGCUCCGUUGAACCGAAACUCAUUUGUAAAAUGUGCAUGACCAUUAUUUUUAAUUGAAAACGAAAAUGAAAAAUAGAAAGCAAAACCAACUAGAUCCAAACAAAAUGAAAUACAAUGCAAAAACAUUUGUUAACUCUUGCGGUUUUAAUUAAAAACUCGAGUAGUCCUGGUCAUUUCUCAAGUGUCAUGUCUUUAUUACCACUCCACUUGGGCGGGGUCAAAUCUUUCCUGGAUCGACAGCUCCCACGCCCAGUUAAAUGACGCUUUAAUUGCGAUAAAAACCAACAGAAAUGCUGCUUACGGGAUACGGGAAACCACUUUCCGAAGAAUAAUGGGAAAAUAAUGCCUCUAAUUAUCAUUAGUAAGUAAUUUUAAAGAGCUCGGGAAGAACAUCCAACUAUGACGUUCCAGAAUCUCGCCAAAGAGAAAACCAGCCGCCGAAAAAGAAAAAAAAAAAAAACAGGUAAAACAAAGACAUAAAGGUGAGGGAGGUGGUACUUCCUACUCCCACAAACGGUUGUCAUUAGUCAGAACAGAGGCAGCAACCUCAACCUCAACCUUAAACACAACCACAGCAGAUAUAUAAGAUAUAACGUUGCAGUGGCACCAACGGCAUCGGGAAAAAUAGAAAGCCGUCGCGGCGAGAAAGCCAAAAAGAACUUAACACAAUUUACACUCACGAACGCUUUUCCUACUUAAGCGUAAGAACUGGAAAAUGAUCUGCGGAUUCGAGUGAAUAUCAUCUAUGUGUCUGUGUAUGUGUGUGUGGAGAUGACAACCGCAAGUAGGGGUGUGUGUGUGUGUGUGUGUGUGUGUGUGUGUGUGUGUGUGUUUGGUGCAGCUCCAAUUGCGAAUUAUCGCACAGAUACACAAAUGCCACCGACCGCGAAACCCAAAACGAGCUCACGUACGCAUUUCCCAGCUGGAAAAGUAUUAGAAAUAGGUACUGUCACUGCCAAACACUUAACUUAUUCGAUGUAAUAAUCUAGAAAGCCCACUUAAGCCGUAUCGAAUAUCGCGGAUAUAUAAAUAUUAUGUCAUUUGAACGUGGUGUAGAGGUCUUUAAAAUGGGAGAUUGUGGUUAAAGCUAGUCUAAAUCAAGAUUGAUAUUAUCAAAUUUAUAUACAUACAAGGAUUCUUAGUUUCAUUAUUAAUUCUAACCCAUUUUCAAAUAUCCCAUAACUGAUGCAGAACCUAAAGAAUAUGUAUUCAAUGUAGAAUAGCCGGAUCUACAGUGCGUUCCUACCAAAAUACCGAGGAAAAGUCAUGGAGAAAUCUCGGUUAUGAAGCGCUAAUGCGCUCAAUUAACCUGCACAGCUCCAAUUGCAGUUGCAUUAACUAUUAAUUUUCUCUUUCAUUGUUCUGCUCUCUGGGCCAGUCUUAAAUGUAAUUACAAUCGUUCUGAUGAUGAUCGGUCUGCGGGUCGGUCACACAUGCGUAGAGAUGCGUUGCGCUUGAGUAUCUAAGAGAUACAUAGACUACAGAUGCCUACACUACUUCUUGCCAAUUAAGAGUGUGAAUUUUAAGCCAUAAAACUGUUGCUGCAACGGACCGUCGUUGCUCGUUGUCAUUGUUGUAGUCGCUGUAUCCGAUUUUUUCGGGUGAAAGUUUUGUUCUGAGCGACCUAAAGAUGCUGUUUUUGUUACAGAUUUUUCUUUGCCUUUAUUUUUUUUCUUUGUAUGUCAGUUGGGUCUGAACAACUUCCUAGACAUAAUUAGCUCACUCGCAUAUCUUAUCGUGGCGAAUAGUUCACAUGAGCUGGCUCAAAUCAAAUGAAUCUACAAGCCCGUAGAAAGUUCCAAAGUAUCUGCAAGAUACCAGUCGCAGCAGCAGGAGAAGCGAACGUUGCCUGAGUAAUCAUCUUAAUUCACAAUAAUUGCGCAAAUGAAAUUGAAAAGCUCCAGAGAAUGCUCGAUGGUUAAUGGUAACCAAUUCGGGAGACAAGCCCUCCGCUUGCCAGUUUGCACACAAAGAAAAGUUUAUACAUUUUUGAAAUAUCAAAUAUAUCAAAACCAUGUUCUUUUAUUUAUUAUUAUCUAACUAGAAUUGAGUGCAUUAAAUCUAUCUGUUUUUUAGAUUUCUGUACAAUCUUGAUAAGGUUUCGUCAGUCCCAUCGCGUUUAAAAUGACAUUGUUAUUUUUGGUGGCUUGUUAUUUUUCUGAGUGUGCCUAACCUGAGUGACUGACUGACUCAGUGAGCAAUCCGAAAGUGCAAACAUUCAACACUGGUGGCACCAGCUGGACGACGAUUGCCUCGCGGACAGGCGCAACCAUCAGCGGAUUGCGGAGUCGCGUUUGUUUCUAAUUUUCUUCUUUUUUUUUUCUCAGUUUUCAGUUUUUCUUUUUUUGGGGCGUGCGGCGGUGGCUGGAGCACUAUUUGCAUGGCCUGGCACACAAUAGACAGAGUGGGAGAGCAGGUGAAAAGUGUCCGACAAAGAAAACAAACCUCGGAUCUGUUGAAUGGCGGCGGCUGGCAGUAUCCAAGCAGUAUCCAACCAGUAUACGUACCCCUGCCAGUGCAAUUUCAUAAUGGCGUCGUCAGGCCAAGAUCGCUGACGACAUUACAGUUAGCCAAGAUGCAUCUUGGCCCGAUUGCAGGCCCAACUGCCUUAUUUUCAGUGCCUGGUCUGCUUCUCUCUCUAGUUUUUCUGUUGUCUAUCUGUCUGUCUGUUUGGGGUGCCUAUCUGUUUGUCAUGCCCUUUCCAAAAAAGGUUGUCGCUGGCUUUUAUAGCAGACAUUGCAUAGAUCAUACAUUGGGCAAUUUAAAUGCAAUUUGAAAACCUUUGAACUCGCAUUUGCCGUUGUCAAUUUACGUUUUUCGUAAAUUAAAAAUUGACCAAAAAUAGGAAGGCUUUUAAAUUGAUUUGUAAUGAAUUUCAAGCUAUUUAAUUAUUUUGUUGAAACAUGUAAAAUUCCAAGACAGCAUUUAUGGGUUUCUUUGAGCCUUUUAAAGCUUGAAAAAACCAUGGAUUACAAACGGAAAGAGGGUAUUGAGUGUUCUUAGGGAGUUUCAAACAUUUUCUUUGGCCAGCAAUCAUCUAUCAAUUUUUUUUCGUUUCUGUUGUCUGACCAAAAUAUGAUCAAUUGUAGCCAUAGUUUUUUCAGUUGGUUGGUUGCUGCUGCCACAAUUGUGGCAGUUGUUGUAGUUGUGAGCCGAUCUUUGGAACAAUAAGCGAAUAUUGUUCGCAAAUGCGAAAUAAUAAUAAUGUUCAGCACUCAAAAUUGAGCCAUGUUACCGCAUCGACAACAGGCGGCAGUUGUUGCCGAUGUUGCUGGUGUUGUUGGUGUUGUUGGUGUUGCUGCUGCUGCCUUUUGCAAGUUGCAACAAUAAUUGAGCUCUUGGCUGGCUUUUGGUUUUUGUCUCGUUUUGUAAUUGCCAUGCAAAAAGGAAACACAAACGGACAGCUUCAAUGCAUUUGUAAUUACAUUUGAUUGCAACAAUUAUUUAAAAAUAAAAAAUCACAAAACCAAAAUUGGCCAGCAAUAAAAAACCGUGUGGCAUCAAAUGUAGCAGCUCCUUGAAUGUGUAAAAACCAAGUGAUGUUAUUAAAAACACAUCAUUCUCAAUCAGUGAGAAGCGAAACUGAAGUUUUGCUAACAAUCAGAACCCAAAAAAGCCAGACUUAAUUAAGAUCUGCUUUUUGCUCUAGAAAUGAGGUCAUCAUCAUAUCCGCAACGGCUGUCAAUUUGCGUUUGCCUCCGUCUGAUGAUGAGGUAUUACCCAGGUAUGUUUCAGUGUCAUAAAGUUUUUGCCAUUCGGUGGCAUUGGCCCAAAAGGCCCCGCUGGCAACACGCCACAAAACGGCGGUGAGGUAUUAUUAAUUAAAAGGGAAAUGCUGCCACUGGCCAGUCGUUAAAAAGUGAGUAAUAAAGGUGUUUCCUACUUUAACGACUAGCGAAUAGACACUGCAGGUCACUAUUUGGAUAGUGAAAUAAAAGCGAAAAGUAAAACAAUGUAAUUAGCCCUAAGGACUUUGGAUUUAUGAGUAUAUUAUUUUGUACUGCAAAGAAAGGUUUCUUUAGCGUUUUCUAUCCCAACAAAGAAAUCAAACAAUCUUUUCAUAUAUUUAAGUGACCCAACCUUAUAUGAAUAACAAAUGGCCACAGCACACUUAUUCAUAUGAAAUGCCACGGAACCAAUGACCAUUUCAUAUUCAUAACCAGUGACGCAGACAGCUCUAUAAGAAGGUCUAUUUUUGCCGCGGAAUGUAUCUAUAUCAGUCUAGCCGAAGUGCCUACGCGUACGUUCAUAAAUGUGCCAAAAAAUAAAAGAGCAAUAUCGAAAAAGUCAAAAGUAAAGCCAUUCAAGAAACCUAUUCAAAUGUUUAUGUGACUUUAAUUACGUGACAGCGCACUUGGAAUGAAACAACAUUGAAAUCCUAUUAAAUAUGUAUGCACUUAUGGCCGCAGCACACACACACACACAAACACACGGACAAGUGUAAGCGAUUGACACAGAUACUCGCACCCUGAGAUACACAGAUACAUCCACCGAUUGCCGGAUAGUUGGAGAAAUAGAGAGGGCGCUCUAAACAUCCAAACAUGGACUCACUAGCGAACCAUAGCCAAAAACCAAGUUUCGGAGGUGACGCAAUUUACAAAUAGUUGCGAGCGCAAAAUUUGUAUUUGCACACAAAAUUCUACAAAUACAAAUAACAAAUAACAUUCGCCCGGUGGCCGUAGCGGCAGUAGCUAACAGUAUCUUACGGAUACAUAUGUGCAGAGCAAAGAGGAAAGCGACUACACGGAGAGAAAUGCAGCAUAUACAAAUUGCUAAGCCAACCAAAUAAAAACGACCUUUAUAUUUAAACAGUACAUUAUUUUUCAAAAUUUUAAUGUAUGCAUCUAUUUCGAAUCUUUUGAUAAAGCACCUUGAUAGAGCACCUUUUUUCAAAGUACCGAAGGAAGCAUUGGUUUGCUAAGACCUGGACAAGUAAGCCCGGUACGCCGUUCAAGUGUCCGUCAUCGGAUUGAAUCGCAACGAAUCGAAUCGCGUCGAAUCGCAUUGAAUCGCAUGUGGCAAGGUGUAAUUUACCCUUCAAUCAAUGCGCAGCAAAUCAGUUGGCAAUGUGCUGUGCGCAGGCGCACCUCGAUGGUCCCCCCUCCACGCUUUCCGAAUCAGUUGGCAGCACAUUUGGGUUAACAAUUGGUUAACUGUAUACCGGCCAUAUCGGGGCUUGUGGCUAUAUUUAUAUAGCUGCGCAUGUCUGUGUGUGCCCAAUGACUAACUGGGCGCAAGGUGGUUUUUAUACUCGGUUAAAAAAGCAUUAAAAACUUGUGUGCAAGUCGGCAGUGCAGGAGGAAAGCCAGAGCCACCAAAGAUACCACUUGGUAUUUAUGUAUACAACAUAAGUGACUAAUCGGAUUUCUAUGAGGUAGUUGCCUUCCAUAUUUGAGAGCUGCUCGAUAAAUAUGACAUUAAACGAUAUAGUAAUUUUAGGCCAAAGAGGGACAAGCUACUACAUUUUAAUAACUUCCCAAUUGCUAACCAAUUGAUUUCAGGCAAAGUACAUCUCAUUCCCUAAAACACUUCCUUAUAUAUAAAGCCCGUUCAAUUAAUCAAUUAUUUUUAAUUAUUACCUUUAUUUAAAUGUAUUGCCGAAUGAUUAAUUAUUCGUUUCGGGGUAUUUUCUAAAAUGAAUUAAUUAUUUAAUUGUCAGAAACAUCGUUUACAUUUCCUCAUUCGGUCAACUUUAGGCCACCUUUUUUGCGUUAACUGUUUGGCUUUAACGCAAAGAGUUAACCAAAAAUACAGUAAAGGAGAAAAAUAACAGACAAUGAGAUGUUGAUCAUGUUGUAGUUGGCAGGUUAACAAGCAACCCGAGCAGCCUUAGAUAAAUCGCGAGACAAGUCAACAAACCCGGUCGUCGAGUCAACAACAUGGUUGCGCUUCAAGGCAGCCAAGGAGAAAUGGUUUCCUUUUGGCCAAUUCAAUUGGAUGACGGCCAAACAAUGCGUCCAGUUUGGACAAACAUUUGCAACAGAGCAGCAAACCCAUUUCAUGCCCAUUCCAACUUCCCACGUUGCACGGCAGGUAGCCGCAAAAACUUGUAGAACGUGCUGGUAAAAAUGGUAAGAAAUGGUAAAAAUAGCCAUGCAGCCGUUUGAAGCAACAAAUUUUCAAGUUUAAAUCUAAAUGUGGCAGUAAAUCGUGCCCGGCCGGCAAACGAAGAUGAAGAUACUGCCAAAGUCCAAGCUCCAAGAAAGCCCGGCUCUUAGAAAUUAGAAGCGUGCUGAGGGCAGACUGUCCGGGGAUGGUAAUCAUCGUUGUAAUCAGUUUCUUGAAUGGGGUCACUUUGGUCCAAUAAUGAACCGAAUUUCCACAAAAUGUUUGUCACACUUUUGACAUUUUGCACGACUCGCUUGUCGACCGAAAAUAGUUCCCAAAAAUAAAUGAAUCGGGAAUGAGAAUUGAGACAGCGACUGCCAUUCACUGAGCACGCAAACUCGCCACAAAUGAAAUGCAGUUCGUCUUGCUCUGUUGUACAAUGCGGCGUAUGCGCAAUGUCUGGUUGUCGCCAAGUUUGAUUUCAGUUUAUAAAGCGGUUGUGAAGUCGAGUGAGUUAUUACUCCUCAAACAAUUAUAUAUACUUAUAUUCUUAUUUUUAUAUAUAUUUAUUUUCAACAGAAAGGUUUAAAACAUUGUAGUAUAUUAUGUAUGAAAAAACAUCGCUGAAUAAAAAUGUAUAUCUAUAGAACAUUGCUUUAUAUUGUAAAUAUAAAAAUAAACUAAAAUAUAUAAGAAAUUCAAAUUUAACUCGAUUGAUCAGAAAUCGAAAGAAUAUUUAGAAAAUCAUUUCAGGCAGCAAAGUAUUGACUUUUAAACUUAAGAGUUUGAAAGGAAAGUGGGGCGCGACUUUUUAACGCACUUGGCAAAGUUCACAAGUGCUCGCAAGAGUCAAGUGUCGCCAGAAAGGCAAAGAGUAUAGAAAAUGAGCAAGGGAAGCAUGUGGGAAACGAAGAAUCAUCAGACCGGCAUUCGGCUGGUUGUUAAAUUUAAAACUUUAAUGUCAUGCACGAAAGAAAAUGU